rnacentral:rRNA from 1 species
CAGCAGCCACGGUAAUACAGAGGUCCCGAGCGUUGUUCGGAUUCACUGGGCGUAAAGGGUGUGUAGGAGGUUGGAUAAGUCAGGUGUGAAAUCCCGCAGCUCAACUGCGGAACUGCAUUCGAUACUGUUCAACUAGAGGAUCGGAGGGGGAAGCGGAAUUCUUGGUGUAGCGGUGAAAUGCGUAGAUAUCAAGAGGAACACCGGUGGCGAAGGCGGCUUCCUGGAAGAUACCUGACUCUGAAACACGAAAGCCAGGGGAGCGAAUGGGAUUAGAUACCCCAGUAGUCCCUGUCUCUUAUAA